AAUUGACGUGGAGAUGGCAUUCCUCCCUAACCGCCCGCAAGGGCUAAUGAUGCCUACAGGCCU
rnacentral:ncRNA from 1 species